CAUGAUUAAUGUGUGGGUUGUAUUAUCCGGUUUUGAUUAUUUAAGUCCAUGGAUGCCACCAUACUGUUCAGAGCACGUACGGAGUACAGGAGUGAGUCUCCCAGGUUUUGGCUCAGCCUCCGUAGAGGACCACCUGGAAGCAUAGGAGAGAAGCUGCGCAGUAUUGGACUGUUUUUUCGCCUUGGCACAAGUUAGUAGUGGGAGACAAGGAGUAUCAGUUCUACCAGAUCGUUCCAGCAAGUUUGUUUUCAGCUUUCAUCAGUUGUGGUGCUGAAUCAAUUAAACUUGAAUGAGGAAGGAUUAUAUCAGUGCCUGUUACUGGAUGGCAACAACAGGGCUUUGGCCAGCUUGAAGUACCUGCUGACUGACAAACCUUUACCCCCAACCGGCAGCAAACCUGCGCCCACGCUUCCCACACUUCCUCCCGGUGUCAGCAGCAGCCUCCCUCAUGCGUUUCUCAGAUACUUUAUUGUUGCACUUGUUGGCACAGUAACUGGUCUGUGACUGGUUGCAGCUAUGACAUAGCAGCAGCUGUUGGGUGCUAUUCAUGGGGAAAACAACAGAAAAACAGAGAUACUGAUGCGUGCCCAUAAAAUAAAGAGUGACAUAAUCUAAUUAUUCCCGAGUAGAAAUAUUUGGGCAAGCCAGUAUCUUAGGGGUUAUGUUACCUGUGAGUUUCUCAAUCAGUGGGCUUUGUCUGAGAGCAGGUUGAGUCUAACAGAUCAAACUGCAGUUUCUUUUUGAGGUUUGCACUUGUGAUCUGUAAACUUCAUAUAGUGUUGGGGAGGAAACAAAUACUAUUCAUAACUAAUGAUCCUGGAACCAUAUAUACAAUAAACUGCCAAAAGAAAAGAAAAACAAAGAAAUAAGAAAUAUAAAAUGUUUCGAGCAGGUGUUUCUGCAUCGGCAUGGUUAAUGAUUAAUUAAGCACUUAACCUCACAUGACACUUUACAUCAUGUAUAAGCAGCCCAGAAGGGCAGAAUUGCCCAUUAUUUUACUUACCAACUGGAGAAGAGAAGCCAGUGGCUUUAAGGGAAGAGUGAUAGUUGGGACACUUUUGUCAAGAUCUCCAGUUAUUAAGAUUGUUUUUGGUUGCA